rnacentral:rRNA from 1 species
GAUGAACGCUGGCGGCGUGCCUAAUACAUGCAAGUCGAGCGAACGGACGAGAAGCUUGCUUCUCUGAUGUUAGCGGCGGACGGGUGAGUAACACGUGGAUAACCUACCUAUAAGACUGGGAUAACUUCGGGAAACCGGAGCUAAUACCGGAUAAUAUUUUGAACCGCAUGGUUCAAAAGUGAAAGACGGUCUUGCUGUCACUUAUAGAUGGAUCCGCGCUGCAUUAGCUAGUUGGUAAGGUAACGGCUUACCAAGGCAACGAUGCAUAGCCGACCUGAGAGGGUGAUCGGCCACACUGGAACUGAGACACGGUCCAGACUCCUACGGGAGGCAGCAGUAGGGAAUCUUCCGCAAUGGGCGAAAGCCUGACGGAGCAACGCCGCGUGAGUGAUGAAGGGCUUCGGAUCGUAAGACUCUGUUAUUAGGGAAGAACAUAUGUGUAAGUAACUGUGCACAUCUUGACGGUACCUAAUCAGAAAGCCACGGCUAACUACGUG